rnacentral:lncRNA from 1 species
CUCUAAUCCGUGGGAGGACCUUCAGCAACAUGAAGUCAUUAGUAAAUUGUGUUCUAUAUGAACGCAAGUUCAUAAACCAAAGUAAAGCAAGUGUUAUCAAUGUUCUACAGGAGAAAGCUUUUAAAAAGAUUGUGAAAUAUUGUCUUCUAACUGUGGACCAAUUUGUAAAAUUGGUAAGGAAUCGAUAAUAAGAAUUUCUAGUUCACUUAAUUGCUUUAGACCAAAGUGAUUCACUUGUCUCUUAAAUAAUCCAACACAUCCUUUCUAUAUGCAUUUCUAAUCGAUGGAACAUUAUUAGAAUUUGUAUACAAAUAAUAAUAAUUGUAUUAUUAAUUUUUAUUAGUAUUAUUCAUAAAAAUUUAUUAUCAUUAUUAUUAUUAUUAUUAUUAUUAUUAUUAUUAUUAUUAUUAUUAUUAUUAUUAUCAUUAUUAUCAUUAUCAUUAUCAUUAUCAUUAUCAUUAUCAUUAUCAUUAUCAUUAUCAUUAUCAUUAUUAUUAUUAUUAUUAUUAUUAUUAUUAUUAUUAUUAUUAUUAUUAUUAUUAUUAUUAUAAAUUCUGCUAUUGUUGUUAUUGGUUUUGCUGUCAUUGAUAUUGUUGUUGUAGUUACUGUUUUUUUCUGUUGUUUAUGUUUUAAUUGUUUUUGCUGUUGUUGCUGUUGUUAUUGUAUUUUGUUGUCAUUGUUUUUGUGGUUGUAGUCACUGUUUUUUAUGUUGUUUUGAUUGGUGUUUUAAUUGUUGUUGAUAUUGCUGCUGUUGUUGAUAUUAUAGUGUUUGCUUUUGUUUUGUUAUAUUGUUGUUUUGAUUGUUUUUGCUGUUAUUGUUUUUACUGUUAUAUUUUAAAGCAUUUACACUAACCUUUUACAUUUGUCAUUUUGGGGCCUUUUAUAGCUGACUAUACGGUACGGGGUUUGCUCGUUGUUGAAGGCCAUGCAGAAACAUAAUCGUUAAUUUCUGUGUCAUUUGGUCUCUUGUAGAGAGUUGUCUCAUUGGCAAUCAUACCACAUCUUAUUUUUUCAUAUUCACAACUGUGUGUAUUACAUUAGAUAAGUGAGGAUGCAGUACAUUUUAUUUGCUGUUUAUUUUUUGCUGCUACAUUUAGUAAUUGUGAGAUAUUAAAAUGUUAGGUGAUUUGGAGGAGCCUUCUAAGCUUCCAUCAAAGGAGCGUUUUCUUCGUAUAACCGAUAACAUGGAACACUAGCCUUCACACCUGGAAAAUUAAAAAGUAACAUUUCUGUACAUUUUAAUGGAUCAAAUGUCUAAUAGGUUUUAAAAAUAACACCAUUGCUUAUAUAAAACUUAAUUCCAAGAGACUUAUAUGACCUAUAAACAAUGAAAACAUAUUAAGAAGCGUGAAAAAAUAUUGCUAAUUAAAUAUAAUGACUUUGGAAUAUUUUUACGAGAGAAGUAUGUUAAAACGCCUUUGAUCUCUGAAAUCUAUAAACUACAAUCCAUUUAGUUCAUUAUCGUUAUGGUUUUUAUCCAUGCAAACCAAUCAUCAAGUAGCAACUUAGCUGGAAGCGGCAGAAUAUAGAACAACUUCAUAUCGGGUUACACGAACGGGGGUAAUCCGGUUCAGUAUUUUUUCGUGGUGCAGAAUUUCUCGAACAAGAAACAAAAACUUUUAAAAAAGAUAUCAAAACAAAUCGGUGAAGGUUGUAAUUCAGAGGACACGACUGCAACCACAGAAAAAAAAAAAAAAGAAAAGAGAAUUUCAAAAAUAUAUAGAAAAAACCGAGAGAACUUCAAAAAUAUAUACAGUGUUAUUCUUAUGCCUUUUUCAUUUAGCUGUUCAACUGUUUCGGUUCUUAUACAUCAUUGGAUUCAAAAGAUUUGGCUCUGAGCGUUCCCGGUGAUGUUUAAGCCAGAGAAGCGCUACAGAAGCAUACACUUUAAAAAGUUUUCUUUUCAAUUGUUGAAAGAACAAUACAAUAAGGAAGCAUGUCUCUUGGUUUCUGGCUCAUUGAAGUUAAACACCAUGUCACCUGUUAUUCUGUACAUACAUCAGAAAAUACAAGUGACAAUAAAAAUGAAAGGACAUUUGGAAAUGAAGAACUGUGAUAAAAUGUUGUUCUUUUGCUUUGGAUAUUGUCAAGUGCGUCUUUGAUUUUUGUGUCUUGAAUAAUAACAGCUUAUCCUUUCGUUUCCUCAACUACCAGGAGACAAGGCAUAUAUUUGACGUCUCAAAACAGCAAAGACUAUCAAAGAGAAUCAUAAAUAUCACCAGAAUCAUCAAAGAACAAGACAAAGCAUAAUACAAGACCUAUACCACUAAAAAUACCGAGAAACUGAACGAUCCAAUACCCCAAACCUUUCACAGAUGCUAAGGAAAGCUUAGGGACGAUUCAACCUCGAGACAGAUUUUUAAGGACAAUGCAAAUCUGUGACUGUACCAAGUCAGGCGCCUGAUAUAUUGUUAUUGUUGCUGUCUAUCCUAUUUAUUUUUCGUUUACUUGUUUAUUUUGUAAAUAAAUGAGACUGUUUCCUUUCUUGUUGGAAUCCUUUUAUUGUUGAAGUCCGAACAGUGACCUAUCGUUGCUUCAACCAUAUAUAUAAUAGCCAUUACUAGUAAUGAUAUAUAUAUAUAUAUAUAUGCUUCAACCUACGUCAUUUGGUCGCGGGUGAAGUUAUUUCAUUUGCAAUCAAACCAUAUUUUCUUCUUUUUUUACAGAAAGACCAGCAGAAGCAAAAUGAGAAAAAUGAUAUAAAGGGCUUUACAAGACCUUCAUCUGCAAGAUCAUGCUUUUGAUCCUCAAUGACCACAUGUAUUUAUAUGCAAAGACAGGUUAA